rnacentral:rRNA from 1 species
AUGGAAUACCCUCAAGAUAUGGUUUUCCUUUUUGCUAUGGAAUUUUCUCAAAGGCGAUGCUCGAUUCUUUUCGAUGGACAUGUUAGGUUUGAUAUGGGUAGAUCUUCUAUCCACUUCCAUGUAGAGCAAUGUGGUUUUACUGAUAUCACGCAUUGUGUUGUCGGCAUGCACAAGUUAAUUUCUGUAUUACAACAGUGGAUAAAAUGUCAACUUGAUUGUGCUUCAAAUGGACUUAGCCUUUGUCAAGAGUUAGUUUAUUUUUAUGAUACACGUGAAUAUAGGAGAAAACUAGAAAAAAAAUUAAGAACCAAUGGGAUCUAUUACUGA